rnacentral:lncRNA from 1 species
CUUAAUCCUCACAAUAAUCCUAUGAAGUCCAACCAAGUUUACAGGUAAGGAACCUGAGACACAGGUUGAGUAAUUGCUAUAAGGUCACCAAGGGCAAGAUUUGAUUCCAGGCAACCAGGUUCCAGAGUCCAUGCUUUUAGUGAUGACAACAUAUAGAACAGAGAUCUAUACACUGAACUGUUAUGUGAAAAAGAAUAGACACCUAUCCCUGUUAGUCUAUGUAUUGGGGGACCUCUUUGUCACAGCAGCUUAAAUAUACCUUAACAUACCCUCUGUGUCACCCCAGAGGCAAACAUAGGUCUCCCCCUCUCCACACUCCCCCUAGGGCCAGUAACCAAGCA